GACGAACGCUGGCGGCGUGCCUAAUACAUGCAAGUAGAACGCACAGUUUAUACCGUAGCUUGCUCCACCAUAGACUGUGAGUUGCGAACGGGUGAGUAACGCGUAGGUAACCUGCCUGGUAGCGGGGGAUAACUAUUGGAAACGAUAGCUAAUACCGCAUAAUAUUAAUUAUUGCAUGAUAAUUAAUUGAAAGGUGCAAUUGCACCACUACCAGAUGGACCUGCGUUGUAUUAGCUAGUAGGUGAGGUAACGGCUCACCUAGGCGACGAUACAUAGCCGACCUGCGAGGGUGAUCGGCCUAACUGGGACUGGGACACGGCCAAGACUCCUACGAGAGGCAGCAGUAGGGGAUCUUCGGCAAUGGACGAAAGUCUGACCGAGCAACGCCGCGUGAGUGAAGAAGGUUUUCGGAUCGUAAAGCUCUGUUGUAAGAGAAGAACGGGUGUGAGAGUGGAAAGUUCACACUGUGACGGUAUCUUACCAGAAAGGGACGGCUAACUACGUG
rnacentral:rRNA from 1 species